rnacentral:rRNA from 1 species
AGUGAACGCUGGCGGUAGGCCUAACACAUGCAAGUCGAACGGCAGCACAGUAAGAGCUUGCUCUUACGGGUGGCGAGUGGCGGACGGGAGAGGAAUACAUCGGAAUCUACUUUUUCGGGGGGGAUAACGUAGGGAAACUUACGCUAAUACCGCAUACGACCUACGGGUGAAAGCAGGGGAUCUUCGGACCUUGCGCGAUUGAAUGAGCCGAUGUCGGAUUAGCUAGUUGGCGGGGUAAAGGCCCACCAAGGCGACGAUCCGUAGCUGGUCUGAGAGGAUGGUCAGCCACACUGGAACUGAGACACGGUCCAGACUCCUACGGGAGGCAGCAGUGGGGAAUAUUGGACAAUGGGCGCAAGCCUGAUCCAGCCAUACCGCGUGGGUGAAGAAGGCCUUCGGGUUGUAAAGCCCUUUUGUUGGGAAAGAAAAGCAGCAGGUUAAUACCCCGCUGUUCUGACGGUACCCAAAGAAUAAGCACCGGCUAACUUCGUG